rnacentral:rRNA from 1 species
UACGGAGGGUGCAAGCGUUAUCCGGAUUUACUGGGUUUAAAGGGUGUGUAGGCGGGCUUUUAAGUCAGUGGUGAAAUCUCCGGGCUCAACCUGGAAACUGCCAUUGAUACUAUUAGUCUUGAAUUUUGUUGAGGUAGGCGGAAUAAGUCAUGUAGCGGUGAAAUGCAUAGAUAUGACUUAGAACACCAAUUGCGAAGGCAGCUUGCUAAACAAAUAUUGACGCUGAGGCACGAA